GAGUCGCGGAUAGCAGUUGGUAGAGCAGCGGACUUUUAAUCCGUUGGUCCCGCGUUCGAGUCGCGGACGACCCACCA
rnacentral:tRNA from 1 species